CCCCUAGAUGUUCUGGGCCGCACGCGCGCUACACUGAACAGUUCAACAAGUCUUAACCUUGGCCGAUAGGUCUGGGUAAUCUUUGAACGCUGAUCGUGAUGGGGAUAGACUUUUGCAAUUUUUGGUCUUCAACGAGGAAUUCCUAGUAAACGCAAGUCAUCAACUUGCAUUGAUUACGUCCCUGCCCUUUGUACACACCGCCCGUCGCACCUACCGAUUGAAUGGUCCGGUGAAGCCUCCGGAUUGGCGUGCACCCUCGGGUGCUGCCGAGAAGUUGGCUAAACCUUACCAUUUAGAGGAAGGUGAANUCGUAACA
rnacentral:rRNA from 1 species